CCUACGGGAGGCAGCAGUGGGGAAUAUUGGGCAAUGGGCGCAAGCCUGACCCAGCAACGCCGCGUGAAGGAAGAAGGCUUUCGGGUUGUCAACUUCUUUUCUCAGGGACGAAGAACGUGACGGUACCUGCUGACUAAGCCACGGCUAACUACGUGCCAGCAGCCGCGGUAAUACGUAGGUGGCAAUCGUUAUCCGGAUUUAUUGGGUGUAAAGGGCGUGUAGGCGGGAAGCCAAGUCAGCUGUGAAAACUACGGGCUUAACUUGUAGACUGCAGUUGAAACUGGUUUUCUUGAGUGAAGUAGAGGUUGGCGGAAUUCCGAGUGUAGCGGUGAAAUGCGUAGAUAUUCGGAGGAACACCGGUGGCGAAGGCGGCCAACUGGGCUUUAACUGACGCUGAGGCUCGAAAGUGUGGGGAGCAAACAGGAUUAGAUACCCGGGUAGUCC
rnacentral:rRNA from 1 species